ACCCACCAGAAUGACUACACAAGAAAACUGAUACCAAGUUUGGAUGAAGAUGUGAAAUAACUGAAAUUCUUACACAGUUCAGGACCUCGAAAGAUGAGACAGGAGAUGGGUGUAUAAUAAGUUACUAGGUAGGGAGCAAUGCAGAAAAACAAGUUACGGAAGCUCCGAGCAUGCCUCUGAGAAGAUGGACACCGCUGGUCACUUCGGUUCACCAAGAGUCACAAAUGGUGUCUCUUCGUUAAGCAAAUUCUCCAGCGAGGGACUUACCAUGGGGGAAAGCAAAGUCUGACUUUGUGACUUGGGCUCCACAGACAACCUAAUGACGGCUGCGGAAGUCACUAGAAUAAAGCUCUGAGGGCACGACUCCGCAGGCCCUGCAGUGCAGUUGGUGACCUGUGAGGAAAGGCACGAUGUCGAUGUGAACCAAGGCAUGUGGCAAAUGGCAGAGCUCCUGUGAGGAUGAGCUCCUGGUCCCCCAGAUCUUCUGUUGGUCUCCCAAUGUCCACGUGCUGCCUGGCCCAUCUUCCCAGACCAUUCUUCCCUUCAAAAUUGCACCAGAGCUUAUAGAUUCACAUUUUGAUUGAACCUUAAUCCAGGCAAGAGACGCCAAUGGCAGGAAUUUCAAGCACAG